rnacentral:rRNA from 1 species
AUUGAACGCUGGCGGCAGGCUUAACACAUGCAAGUCGAGCGGCAGAAGGGGGUUCGCCCUUGGAUUCAGUGGCGGACGGGUGAGUAAUGCAUCGGAACCUGCCCGGUAGUGGGGGAUAACGUCCCGAAAGGGGGGUUAAUACCGCAUACGUCCUGAGGGUGAAAGCGGGGGAUCUUCGGACCUCACGCUAUUAGAUGAGCCUAGGUCGGAUUAGCUAGUUGGUGGGGUAAAGGCCUACCAAGGCGACGAUCCGUAACUGGUCUGAGAGGAUGAUCAGUCACACUGGAACUGAGACACGGUCCAGACUCCUACGGGAGGCAGCAGUGGGGAAUAUUGGACAAUGGGCGAAAGCCUGAUCCAGCCAUGCCGCGUGUGUGAUGAAGGUCUUCGGAUUGUAAAGCACUUUAGGUUGGAAGGAAGAGCAGUGAGUUAAUACCUUGCUGUGUUGACGUUACCAACAGAAUAAGCACCGGCUAACUUCGUG